UAAAAUCUAAAGGUAUAUGUUAAAUAUUAUCAUCAUUAACAACAAUAAAACUAUACAUUUCGCUGCUUUAUCACACUGAAACAACUCCCAUUGGUAGUUUUAUUUUAUUACUUCUAUCAUGAUUGGUUAAUCUGGCUGUCAUUCAGGAAACUGGACAAUGAAUCGGUUCGCGCUUUUCUACAUUUAAAAAUAUGACCGUUAUUGUCGUCUUUCUGUGAGUGAGGCGGCUAACUGUGAGCUGCUGCUCGUUAUAACUGACUGCUCGGUCGGUCCCGAAUUAUUUCAUAUUUGCCUGUACAUUUUUUAUUUAUUUUGAGCGAAUUUGAGUCGUGACAUGUCAAUGGAGAACAAAAACUGUGAACACAAGAAGGGUCAGGUGUUCUGCGAGGUCCUGAAAACAUCCUGGCAAAAUGAGAGUCAUCGAGGAUCCAGCUUGUUCUUGAAACAUUGAAGUUUGCACUCUGCAAGUGAACGACGCCUUGUGGUGCCAUCCCAAAGAGGUUCAAAAUCACUCUCUCGGACCUUUUCCUGGACUGUGCCCAGCUGGUGGAAUCACCUCCCAAUCUCAAUCCGAACUGCUGAGUCUUUACUCAUUUUCAAGAAACAUCUUAAGACUCAUCUUUUUCACCAGAACUUAACCAACUAAUGCUAGCACUUUUCCUUCUUUUCUUGUCUUUUAUAUAUAUAUAAAAAAAAAAAAACCUGGCUAUGCGUUCUGUACUAGACUAACUGAGACUUGUCAUGGCACUUGUAUCCUGUUGUUGUUCGCUUGUACACCUGACUGCUUCUGUUCUUCUUAUUUGUAAGUCGCUUUGGAUAAAAGCGUCUGUUAAAUGAUUAAAUGUAAAUGUUUAUACAGGACGGUACAGAAAGUGCACAAGUUGGAGAGAGUGGAGGAGACGGCGUCAGAUAGGACCUAGCGCUGGGACACUUUCAAGGAUCACCCGAAGCACAACCACACUGUAUACACUAAGGCUGCUGGUUCUAACAUUUUAGAGUGCCCUGCGGUAGAAAUCUCAUUCUGCAUUCCCCACGGUAAAGAAGACACAGUCCGGGGGGGUUCCCAUUAGAAAUCAACUGGUUGAAGGUUCCCUUCUCGAACUGUUCAACACAUUUUCACUGCACAAAUGUACACAACUCUUGUAAUGAGACACAUUACUAAAACAUGUUUUUGACAGAAACUGUAGGUUUCCACCAAAAUAAAAGAUCCACUGGUUUCAGUCAUAAAGGUACAAGGGUUUGUCUUGUAAGUGCUGCAAAAAAAUAUGCAUUUAUGUGCCAAAUUAUUUCAC